ACUAGUGGCGGACGGGUGAGUAAUGUAUGAGCAACCUGCCUUUCAGAGGGGGACACAGUUGAAACGACUGCUAAUACCGCAUAAUGUAUCGAGGAGGCAUCUCCAUGAUACCAAAGGAGCAAUCCGCUGAAAGAUGGGCUCAUAUCUGAUUAGUUAGUUGGCAGGGUAACGGCCUACCAAGACUGCGAUCAGUAGCCGGACUGAGAGGUUGAACGGCCACAUUGGGACUGAGAUACGGCCCAGACUCCUACGGGAGGCAGCAGUGGGGAAUAUUGGGCAAUGGGCGAAAGCCUCGACCCAGCAACGCCGCGUGAAGGAAGAAGGUCUUCGGAUUGUAAACUUCUUUUAUGAGGGACGAAGGACGUGACGGUACCUCAUGAAUAAGCCACGGCUAACUACGUGCCAGCCGCCGC
rnacentral:rRNA from 1 species